GCCGCGGUGGUGAAAUUGGUAGACACACAAGACUUAAAAUCUUGCGACCUAACAGUCGUGCCGGUUCGAUUCCGGCUCGCGGCACCA
rnacentral:tRNA from 1 species